ACCGCAUUGUCAGCCGGUGGUGGCUGCAGACAUGCAUUUGGGGAGGGGAAGAGGGAACAGGACAGCAGAUGGGAGGCCGGCAUCCAAGAGCCAACAGCGAGUCCGGGAUGGCUCUGGGUACGUGUGUGUCGUGGGUGCCAGUCUGUCUUUCUCAGUCUCAAGAGAUUACGGUUUACAACUUGAUAUCUUCCUUUGGCUGGAUGGUAGUGAAGACUAAUCGAGGGAGGGAAAAUGAGGUGGCAGUGUGAAAACCAAUUACAAACAUUGGUAGAAGUUAUGUUUUACUCUCUAUGAAAAAAAUAAAGACAGUAUACACAUGACUAGGCUCUGGGAACUUGAGAAACCACAGGUACAACUCCACCCCAACCAUGGAAACUCACCAAGUGAUUCUGGAUUGCAAUCUAUGCCACAUUGUGGGUGGGGAGGAUGGAAGAGAGAAUGUAAUGUGGACUACCUUGACUUUCUGGAGGAUAGGUAAGAUAGAAAGCUAACAAUAAAACAAAAAACUAAUAUUGUACUUUUAAAAAGCUAACUAAGUGGAGGCUUGAUACUUUGCCUUCAAAAUAAGCAUAAUUAUAUGCUGCUUUAAAGUCUAAAGGCAUCAUUUUGUUAGGUUUUUUUUACAACUUUGAUUUAUUUUUUUAUUGUUAGAUUUAUAUAUCACCUCUUCUCUAGAGCAAUAUAAGACUUUAAUAUGCAUAUUUACUUGGAAAUACAUGAGUGGAACUUAAAAAAUCCUUUUCAAACAAGCAUAAAGUUUCCUAGCAAGUUUUUUCCAUCUAUAUUAAAAAAUAUUGAAUAUUAUCAGGAUAUCAAAAAUCAGAUUAUAGUACUAUAAAAUUGGCUUACCUAAUUAUAUGAGGACUGAAUGUUUACCAGUAAUAACACUUAAGAAAAAAAUAACUUAUUGAUCAUAUAUUAAAAUAUUCAGUACCAGAUUCAAGUGCUUUCAUGAUUCAAAUGUAUUUGUUGCUGUUGGGGUAGUAUACCACUUUGGAACUGUCAAAGCUAUGUGAUUAGCUUUAAUCAUAAAUGUGAUUAGCUUUUUAUCCUGAUGUUUCCAUUUACUUUAAAAAAGAAAACAAACCAAGCAAAAAUGUUAUUGCAUUCAAUACUUUCACAAAAGCCAAAUGCCUUGUUUCAAGACACUUAGCUGUACAUGUCAUGAAAUAAUCAAUGGGUAACUAUAGCUUCAAAAAACUUUUGAAAAAGAAAAAAGAAACAUUGAAUAUUUAUAUUUAACAACUUAACUUACUACCACAAAACCCAAAAAUGUUUUUAUUUAUUUUUAAAAGAUCCAGAAUAUGUUUGAGCCUUUAUGACUAAGAGAUUUUUCCUCAAAUGUAAUUAAGAUUUCCUUGGUCAUUUGUAGCCAUAACCACAAAGUUAAACUGUCCCUUCUGUUCUUGAGAAUUUCAUGUUUGAAAAAUGCACUGAACUUCAGUUCCUGCCAAACACAGAGAUGUUCAAUUCAGUUCAAAGCCACAGCCCAGGUACGUGACUAAGUACUUAGUCAUAUAAACAGUAAGUACUCAUGCUGUAUUACUAAUUGUUAUCUUUCAGGCCAGCAUUAGAUUGCUUCCUUUUAAGACCAGACUCCAGAGCACUUCAGCACUGUUAUACAAAGUAAAGUCUAUUCAUUUUAUGAAUUCAGAAAUAUAAAGCACAGAAAUCCUGACAACAAAAGCAUGCUUUGCUUUAAAUGAAAACUCACAAAGCUCUGGAACAAUGUUGUUAGCGAGUUAGAAUAAAGAUUUCAACAAAGGCAGUUUUUUUAAAAUUACUGUAAAAUUUUAUACAAUGCUGAGAGAUCCAAGAGUAACACAUUCUCAAUUUGUAUGAAAUAAUGAGACAAAAUUGCAAUAAAAGUAAUUAUGUAGUGAAAUGUGGAACUCAAUAAAGUGGAAAUGUUAAUGUUUGGUGCCUACAUUAUUAGUCAAGUACAAUUUUGUUCUCUCCUUUUCCAGGACUAAGUGCUGAGUAAGGAAAUUUCUCAGAAAAUGAGAAAUUAUAAUGCCUCCUGAACAUUUUUAAUUUAAAAAUAAGGAAGACAGCUGCCUUUCCAUCACUUAGAUUUCCAAGCCUAGACCAAUAGUUUAAAUUUAGUAAUAACUUUUUAGUAAUAGCUUUUGUUUAAGAGUGUAGGAAGUUAUCACCCAGCCCUCUCCCAGAAAAAUGAAAUAUCCUAGGAAAUAUUGAA